rnacentral:lncRNA from 1 species
UUCCAUGUAAAAAGAGUCCCUGAGAGAGAGCGUGGGAGCUCUGAGGCUGUUACUGAUGUGCCGCUGACAAUGCAGAGAACAAGAUGAUGACAUCAUAAAACAGAAAACUGAAGUGACUAAUGCAAGUGAUAAUGAGGAGAAACCAUGUGCUGAUCCAGCUGUCCACACAUCAUUAAGGAGUCCUUUCUGGAUCACAGUUUCUUAUUUUGGAGAGGGUUCUUCCACAUCUUCCACUGUCCUUCUGCCUCAGAUGCUUGUCCAAAGGAAGAUUAAAGUUAUGUUUGAAUAUCAUGAGACACUGAUUGAUUUUUCUAGCAGAAAAUCCACAUAUUAUUGA